GGACCGAUAAUGGAGCUCGAAUCGGCCUGCUGCUACCUUAUCAACUGUAGCGUCUAUUCCAUUUACGUCAUCUGUUCCAUCAUCUAGAUCUAGAAGCACUGAUAGUCAUCGAUGCAUGUAGCCAACUCCUGAGCUCGUUGUCGAUCCUCGGCAGCCUGCCUCUGCACCUCCGUCAGUUGAGCCUGGUAUGCAGAAUGGAUCUCAGUCCUAGAUGAUCGUGAGGAUGAGGGAGCAGUGAUCCCAUGUCCUAGAUCUCUAACAUAACAGGAUCUUGUACCGAGCAUCCGAUCACAAAUCUCAUCAUCUGUGGGUGCAAUCGAGCCUUCAGAGGUAGGCUAGGAUCUUAUGUC
rnacentral:lncRNA from 1 species